AUGGCAUCCUCCGGCUCCUCCAACUCAACCCUCUCUGGCCAGAUCACCGAGCGCCUCACCAGCACCAACUAUAUCCUCUGGCACAUCCAGAUCACGCCACAACUUCGAGGCAUGGGUUUAUUCAUGUAUGUUGAUGGGAGAAUACCCGAACCGGCCAAAGUCAUCGUCACCAAGGAUAACGAUGCCAAGGAGGAGUCCAUCCCCAAUCCUCUUCACCAUGUGUGGAUCCGAGAGGAUCAACAGGUACUGGGAUAUCUCCUGAAUAACCUCUCGAAGGAAAUGCUCAUGUAG
rnacentral:rRNA from 1 species